UACGGAGGAUCCAAGCGUUAUCCGGAUUCAUUGGGUUUAAAGGGUGCGUAGGCGGAAUGAUAAGUCAGUGGUGAAAGCCUGCAGCUUAACUGCAGAACUGCCAUUGAUACUGUCAAUCUUGAGUACAUUUGAUGUGGGCGGAAUGUGUCAUGUAGCGGUGAAAUGCUUAGAUAUGACACAGAACACCGAUUGCGAAGGCAGCUCACAAAACUGUAAACUGACGCUUGAGGCACGAAAAGCGUGGGGUAUCAAACAGG
rnacentral:rRNA from 1 species